GUGAACUCGAGGAACGAGAGUUGCCAUAAGUUGGAUUGUGAAUUGUUAAGCGGACGAGGUUGAGGGGUGAUGUUGCGGCGGAUGUUGAGUGAGCUUUAGGAAUUCCCGGAUGCGUCGUGUCAUCAUGCAUAGGCGUCUCCCUUUGACUCUCUUGAAUACUUGUUUUUCCGCUGCCGUGUUUGAAAUAAAUUUCUAGAAGUCUUCCGCACUAUUUAAUACUGCUUUAUGACAAUAAGUAUUUUGAGGCUAAAAUCCGUUGCUUAA